CAUGGCGGCCGCGGGAAUUCGAUUAUCGUAUUACCGCGGCUGCUGGCACGUAGUCAGCCGUGACUUUCUAAUUGAUUACCGUCAAACAAAGGUCAGUUACUACCCCUGUCCUUCUUCACCAACAACAGAGCUUUACGAGCCGAAACCCUUCUUCACUCAUGCGGCGUUGCUCCAUCAGACUUGCGUCCAUUGUGGAAGAUUCCCUACUGCUGCCUCCCGUAGGAGUUUGGGCCGUGUCUCAGUCCCAAUGUGGCCGAUCAGUCUCUCAACUCGGCUAUGCAUCAUCGCCUUGGUAGGCCGUUACCCUACCAACUAGCUAAUGCACCGCAGGUCCAUCCAAGAGUGAUAGCAGAACCAUCUUUUAAACAGUUGAUAGGCAUCAUCUGUUAUUAUCCGGUAUUAGCAUCUGUUUCCAAUCACUAGUGAAUUCGCGGCCGCCUGCAGGUCGACCAUAUGGGAGAGCUCCCAACGCGU
rnacentral:rRNA from 1 species